rnacentral:lncRNA from 1 species
AAUAUCACGUGUCUCUAACGGAGAAGGAAAACAUCGUGAGGAAAUCUGCAUUCCUGAGAAUUUUCUUAAUUCUUAAGGUUGUGCGCAGCAGUACUGUAUUACCAUAGGUUGAAUAAUAAGUUGACUCCGAUGUGUAUGGAAAAAUCACUUUAAUUAUGAGAAAUAUAAAUUGAACAUGUGUACAUAGGCCGGUGGUCGGAAGGCAAGAGGAGCGAUUACAAGUUAUAAUCGGCCGGCAGUGUUGCCAGCACGAUUUUAUACAAUUCCUUUAUUUACCAUAAUGUUGCCUGCAACAAAGGUGUGUGAAGUCCGCCCAUCCGCAUUGAGCUAGCGUAGCGGCCAAGAUAUUCGUGCUUAACGGUGAAGUUAACAUAAUUAUGUAAUAAUGUUAAUAAUUAAUAGGUACUUUUUUAGUAUUUGUUUCUUUCUGCAUCAGCUAGCUUUUUGAAAAUGAUGGACCUCUGCACUUGAUGCAUCCAGCAUCCUUUCACACAACAUGAGCCAACGCUUGGAUAUUGCCAGCGGCAGCGCAGCUACUACUCUUAUAUUGUUACUAACUAGCGGACGCCCGCGUCUUCGUCCACGUGGAAUUGUUUACGAGCGUGACUGCAGCGUGACGCGCGAGAGUGGACACAAUUAGUCGCCGCACUAUCAGAUGAUUGAUUUGCACGCGUCUUGUAGAGAAGUCGGUGGAAUGAACAGAUGACGCCCUCCCUCGGCCUCUUCAUACUAGCUCUGCUCAUGUUCGCAGCGGCCCUCAGCUCCGGACAGCCGCCUCAACUGCCGGCGGAGUGCAGAAAAUACAGGAGAGACGACAAAAAAGACGAUAAACAGCAGAUAAAAGCUAUUUGCAUCCCCUAUCUUUAUUAUUACCCAUAUUAUUAUUACUACCCCGCGUAUUAUUACCCUUAUCCAUAUUAUUUUUACUACCCUUACGUGUAUGGAUAAUUAAAGAGUCAAAUAAAAACUGGAGCAAUUUAAUUGGUGUCAUUACCUAAGUCAUUAAAAUUUCAAUUAACAUUAGACUACCCGUAUAAAUGCAUCUGUUAUUGUAAUAAGCACAGAAUAUUAAAGAUCUACACUAUCUUAUUGUCUAUUACUAUUACGGUAAUGACCGUGGACUAAAUUUGGUUUGUGUUAAACAGGUUCUCGCAUUGAGCCAUCCACGUCCAUGUCCAGCUUCCCCAAUACCACGAAGUUACGAAGUUGGCGAGCUUAUGAUGACAAUCACAAAGCUCCGAUCACUAUAAAACGUUAAUGAUAAUAAUAAUAACCGGGCUAAUGCCUUAACAACUCUCCGAGGCACGGGGUCGGGGUGCAUCUCAACUAACUGUUAAACAUAUAUAACCGGAAGGUCACUCAUAUAGAAAUCUCUAAAACCGUUUUACGUAAAAAGAUAAAAUUGUGCAGGAAACUUGUUUAUAGAUAGUAGAAAUCCGCUAAGAACGGAUUAUGCGUUUAGUGCGCCGGAUUGAGGAGGACCAAGGGCGGGAGUAGGGGAAGGGUAGGGG